rnacentral:rRNA from 1 species
UACAGAGGGGGCUAGCGUUGUUCGGAAUUACUGGGCGUAAAGGGCGCGUAGGUGGCCUGUUCAGUCGAGCGUGAAAUCCCCGGGCUCAACCCGGGAACUGCGUCCGAGACUGGCAGGCUCGAAUCCGGGAGAGGGAUGUGGAAUUCCAGGUGUAGCGGUGAAAUGCGUAGAUAUCUGGAGGAACACCGGUGGCGAAGGCGGCAUCCUGGACCGGUAUUGACGCUGAGGCGCGAAAGCCAGGGGAGCAAACGGG